AUGAGCCACGUGGAGCCCCGGCACCGCCCUGCCGGCACCCUCUCGACUCCUCCCGGGUACGCGGUACCGCGCCCGCAGCCCUUCCCCUCGGCACCCCUGUCCCCCCUCGGCACCCCGGCCACCCCCAUCCCACCCCCGACCCCGCAGUGCCCUCCGAUGAUCACGGGGUACCUCCAUCCCGCCCCAAGAUCACCACCCAUCCUUCUCCUCAGCACCCCACUUCCCUCGGAGUACCCUCAUCCCACCCCUCGCGGGCAUCCGCGUGCCCCUCUGACGGACACCCUGCGUCCCACGGGGGCUCUUCGCGUCCCACGCCACGCGGGUGCCCCACGCCUCAGGGAGCGGAGCCCAUCACCGAGCGCGGAGCGACGGCUGCGGGCAGCCCGGGAGCGCGGGGAAAGAGGCUGCGCACGACAAGCCCGAGGAGGAGGGUGUUUAGGAGAGCAGGGGCACCGCAAGGACUUGGCAAAAGUAGCUUCUGCCGAGGAACCGGGAAGAGAAGUGCCUCAAGAUGCGUGCUGUCCUCAGCGGACACCGAAGUUAUAUCGCACACCUAUCAGCCAUUGCUUGUCAGGGUUACGCUGUAAGCACAGCUCAGUGCACUGUUGCAGGGCUGCCUACACACCUCAGCCUCACACAGAAAGCAGGAACCUGAUAGAUACUGGAAUAACUACGGUGCAACGACAGGUCAUAAGGCAGUUUCAAUAGGAGAUGGAAAUAGAUGUGUAUGUUGUAAGAAAGGUCCCAUUUUCCAUUACACAUGGAUGCAGAAGACAUACAGCUGUGCCAAGCAUGCUAUGAAUUAAGUGUAAAUAUGUAUUUACUGCCAAUUAGGGCAAUGUCUAAGGCCUUGCCAUUGUCAUCAUAAACUGACAGGGCUCACCAGCCUUCAUCUCUAUGGUGCUGGUCCCAAAUCAGCACCACCUCGAUGCUCUGCAUCCCCAAUACAUAGGGUUUGCUUCAGUUGAAGGAGGACAGGGCAGCAAAGCAGGUCUUCUUGUGAUCUCAGUUUCAAGUCAGUAGCACAUAGUCAGUACCGCUAUCCCAGGCAGCUCUGGUUGCUUUGGAGCUGCAGCAGAGGAAGCACAUAUAGUGGUCUACUUUGGGCUAAAAUGACUAUACAUACAUACAUAGAUAUAGAUUUAGAUGUUUGUAGAUGAUACCAAUAGCAGAGAUUGAAUUGAAUCCACCAGCAAUUUCACUGUGAGCCUCUGCAGCACUCCACCCCAGCCUCUGCCAGGAAGCAGCCUGGCACCUGGCCACUCCUAUGCUACCCACAGACAGACAGCUUCCAAAAAGCAUCAAGAUAGCUCACAGCAUGAGCCAAAGGCCAGGCCUUCUGCUUGGCUUUGGUCCUCCAACCUUCCCAUCAGAGCCCAGGUGAGGCCAGAGAUGCUGCAGGGAUGCAGGGCCGGGGAUGCAGUGCUGGAACCUAGUCCUAUGGAAGAGUUUGUGUUCAUGCUACCCCGUGUCUCCUGCUUCUUGCUGCAGGCAGCAGCACAGCACCUUGGCAGCAGCUGUCAUUGUGCAGCAAUGUGAGCACACCAGCUAUUGAACAGGAAGGAUCAGCUCCUUCAUUUGUCAUGCCAGGCCUCCUGACACAGUCACAUCGCAGCCAUUACUCAGCCUGCAGCCCAUUUCCCCACCAUGGCCAUGCCAGCAGCCCUCAGUGAGCUCUGACAGGACACCAAGCUGCAGCCAGAUUCAUGCGAUCAAUGGCUUUUAUCCCUACUCCGCAGCCUCUGCUGGCUCCAUGGCACAGUUGCUGCCUGAGCCCUGCAGCAAGGCUGGAGGUCAUGCAAAGCUGUGCAGGGACAGCUGUUCUUGCAUUUCCCCUAUGCUAAAAGGAAAAUAAUAGACAUAAUAAAACUUCAUGUUUAUCUAUUUAAAUAGUGAAA
rnacentral:lncRNA from 1 species